GACGAACGCUGGCGGCGUGCUUAACACAUGCAAGUCGAACGGUAAGGCCCUUCGGGGUACACGAGUGGCGAACGGGUGAGUAACACGUGGGUGAUCUGCCCUGCACUUCGGGAUAAGCCUGGGAAACUGGGUCUAAUACCGGAUAGGACUCCGGACUGCAUGGUCUGGGGUGGAAAGCUUUUGCGGUGUGGGAUGGGCCCGCGGCCUAUCAGCUUGUUGGUGGGGUGAUGGCCUACCAAGGCGACGACGGGUGGCCGGCCUGAGAGGGUGACCGGCCACACUGGGACUGAGAGACGGCCCAGACUCCUACGGGAGGAAGCAGUGGGGAAUAUUGCACAAUGGGCGCAAGCCUGAUGCAGCGACGCCGCGUGAGGGAUGACGGCCUUCGGGUUGUAAACCUCUUUCAGCAUCGACGAAGCGAAAGUGACGGUAGGUGCAGAAGAAGGACCGGCCAACUACGUGCCAGCCGCCGCCGUAA
rnacentral:rRNA from 1 species